CACGUAGGGGGCGAGCGUUGUCCGGAUUUAUUGGGCGUAAAGAGCUCGUAGGCGGCUCGGUAAGUCGGGUGUGAAAACUCGGGGCUCAACCCCGAGACGCCACUCGAUACUGCUGUGGCUUGAGUCCGGUAGGGGAGCGUGGAAUUCCUGGUGUAGCGGUGAAAUACGCAGAUAUCAGGAGGAACACCGGUGGCGAAGGCGGCGCUCUGGGCCGGUACUGACGCUGAGGAGCGAAAGCGUGGGGAGCAAACAGG
rnacentral:rRNA from 1 species